rnacentral:tRNA from 1 species
GCCGCUGUGGUGUAGUGGCAGCAUACGGGAUUGUGGAUCCCUUGGUCGGGGUUCGAUUCCCCGCAGCGGCCC